GCGACCCCAUGUCAGGCGGGGCUACCCGCUGAGUUUAAGCAUAUCAAUAAGCGGAGG
rnacentral:rRNA from 1 species